GAUGAACGCUCGCGGCAGGCUUAAUACAUGCAAGUCGAGGGGCAGCACGGGUAGCAAUACUGUGUGGCGACCGGCAAACGGGUGCGGAACACGUACACAACCUCCCUUUGGGUGGGGGAUAGCCUUUGGAAACGGAUAUUAAUACCCCAUAAUACAGGGGGCCCGCGUGGGUCUAUUGUUAAAGUUUUAUUGCCAGAAGGGGGGUGUGCGUCUGAUUAGGUAGUUGGCGGGGUAAAGGCCCACCAAGCCGACGAUCAGUAACUGGUGUGAGAGCACGACCAGUCACACGGGCACUGAGACACGGGCCCGACUCCUACGGGAGGCAGCAGUAAGGAAUAUUGGUCAAUGGGCGGAAGCCUGAACCAGCCAUGCCGCGUGGAGGAUGAAGGUCCUCUGGAUUGUAAACUUCUUUUAUCAGGGGCGAAAAAAGGCUUUUCUAAGUCGUCUGACGGUACCUGAUGAAUAAGCACCGGCUAACUCCGUGCCAGCAGCCGCCGUAACAC
rnacentral:rRNA from 1 species